AACGAACGCUGGCGGCAGGCCUAACACAUGCAAGUCGAACGGGCGUAGCAAUACGUUAGUGGCGCACGGGAGAGUAACGCGUGGGAAUCUACCUUUUGGUUCGGGAUAACGUCGGGAAACUGACGCUAAUACCGGAUAAGCCCUACGGGGGAAAGUUUUUUCGCCAAUAGAUGAGCCCGCGUUAGAUUAGCUAGUUGGUGAGGUAAUGGCUCACCAAGGCUACGAUCUAUAGCUGGUCUGAGAGGAUGACCAGCCUCACUGGGACUGAGACACGGCCCAGACUCCUACGGGAGGCAGCAGUGGGGAAUAUUGGACAAUGGGGGAAACCCUGAUCCAGCCAUGCCGCGUGAAUGAUGAAGGCCUUCGGGUUGUAAAGUUCUUUUGGUGGGGACGGUAAUGACGGUACCCACAGAAUAAGCUCCGGCUAACUUCGUGCCAGCAGCCGCGGUAA
rnacentral:rRNA from 1 species